CCAACAUUGUAGACUAGCACAACCUUAAUUGGGACACCAUGCAUUCAGUAUUCCUACCGUACCAAAAAAAAAAAUAUUAACUAAAAUCAUUGAUUCAAGGCAAUAUCAUUAUGAUCGUCAUACAACCGAUAAAAAUGAAAACAUAACGUUAAAAGUUACGACCGAAGCGCUUUUCUGAAUCGACCUUCUUAGGGAACGCUCAAAGCUGAAUAUUAAGGGCCAACAACUUACAAAGA
rnacentral:lncRNA from 1 species